AUGUGGGGGGGUGUUAAUACCUUCCCCUUGUAUAACCGACUCCCAAACCCUAUCUUUGUUACAACGAUCAUUUCUUUUCUUUCAUGGGUUUUAUCGAUAUUUUCUCAUUCUUUUGAAACAAAUAAAUGGCGACUCUAUUGUAUUUUGAGUGUUCUUUACGCUUGGGUAUUUUUUGCGCCACGACACCUACCACCUCUUUUCCAACUCCAAAUGGAAGAAUGUAGGUUUGUUAACUCUAACAUGGUUCAAAAAUUUUUGGCUGAAAGGUUUUUUGCUUCUGAUUCCAUAGUUCAUGCAGUUAAAUGA